AUUGAACGCUGGCGGCAGGCCUAACACAUGCAAGUCGAGCGAGCGGCGGACGGGUGAGUAAUGUAUGGGGACUGCCCGAUAGAGGGGGAUAACUACUGGAAACGGUAGCUAAUACCGCAUACAAUCGGAUAACCCAUAUGGGAUUAGCUAGUAGGUGAGGAAAUGGCUCACCUAGGCGACGAUCCCUAGAUGGUCUGCGAGGAUGAUCAGCCAACCUGGGACUGAGACACGGCCCAGACUCCUACGGAGGCAGCAGUGGGGAAUAUUGCACAAUGGGCGCAAGCCUGAUGCAGCCAGGCCGCGUGUAUGAAGAAGGCCCUAGGGUUGUAAAGUUCUUUCAGUCGGGAGGCGGUACCGACAGAGGAAGCACCGGCUAACUCCGUGCCAGCAGCCGCGGUAAUUC
rnacentral:rRNA from 1 species